UACGGAGGAUGCGAGCGUUAUCCGGAUUUAUUGGGUUUAAAGGGUGCGUAGGCGGAAUAUUAAGUCAGUUGUGAAAUUCUGCAGCUUAACCGUGGAAUUGCCAUUGAUACUGGUAUUCUUGAGUAUAGAUGAGGUAGGCGGAAUGUGUAAUGUAGCGGUGAAAUGCUUAGAUAUUACACAGAACUCCGAUUGCGAAGGCAGCUUACU
rnacentral:rRNA from 1 species